UACGGAGGGUGCAAGCGUUAUCCGGAUUCACUGGGUUUAAAGGGUGUGUAGGCGGGUUAUUAAGUCAGUGGUGAAAUCUCCGGGCUCAACCCGGAAACUGCCAUUGAUACUAUUAGCCUUGAAUUCUGUUGAGGUGGGCGGAAUAUGUCAUGUAGCGGUGAAAUGCAUAGAUAUGACAUAGAACACCAAUUGCGAAGGCAGCUCACUAAACAGCGAUUGACGCUGAGGCACGAAAGCGUG
rnacentral:rRNA from 1 species